UAAACUGAUUUUUGGAAAGAGGCGGAUCGUACGGGGCUUGCUCCACAUCCGCCACGGGUUGGCCCGGUAUUGCAGUACCGCCGGGAUCGGCCCAACUAAU
rfam:Anopheles melas strain CM1001059_A cont2.4841, whole genome shotgun sequence.